CAAUAUUUGGAAGUUGGAGUGGCGAAAGGGUGCGUAACAUGUGGGUAAUCUACCGUUAAGUUUGGGAUAACCCCGAGAAAUCGGGGCUAAUACCGGAUAAGAUUGGCUUGAGGCAUCUUGAGGCAAUUAAAGUUGGGGACCGAAAGGCCUGACGCUUGACGAUGAGCCCGCAACCUAUCAGCUAGUUGGUGAGGUAACGGCUUACCAAGGCAAAGACGGGUAGCUGGUCUGAGAGGACGACCAGCCACACUGGAACCGGGAGACGGUCCAGACACCUACGGGUGGCAGCAGUCGAGAAUUUUUCUCAAUGGGGGAAACCCUGAAGGAGCGACGCUGCGUGGGGGAUGAAGGGCUUCGGUCCGUAAACCCCUGUCAUUUGCGAACAAGUUUUCAUAUUGAACAGAUGUGAGAAUUGAUAGUAGCGAAAGAGGAAGGGACGGCUAACUCUGUGCCAGCAGCCGCGGUAAUACAGAGGUCCCGAGCGUUGUUCGGAUUUACUGGGCGUAAAGGGUGCGUAGGUGGCCGGGAAAGUCUGAUGUGAAAUCUCCGAGCUUAACUUGGAAAUGGCAUUGGAAACUAUCUGGCUUGAGGGCCCGGAGGGGAGACUGGAAUUCUCGGUGUAGCAGUGAAAUGCGUA
rnacentral:rRNA from 1 species